GUCUGAUUACUGUAUUCCUGUCCAUCAACUUCUUCCUCUUCUUCCAUUAACAAUUUACAACUGUACUCAUGGUCAUGGUCAUUUGAAGAACUGCAAUUUAGAUUAAUGGUAACUUAAAAAUAAAGACAGUAUUUUUAAAAGUGUUUAAUUACUCCUAUAGCUAGAUAUUGACUCAAUUUCUACAUACACUGUACAUGUAUGAAC
rnacentral:lncRNA from 1 species